ACUAAGCGCAUACGGUGGAUGCCUUGGCAGUCAGAGGCGAUGAAAGACGUGGAAGCCUGCGAUAAGGCUCGGGGAGCUGGCAAACAAGCUGUGAUCCGGGCAUCUCUGAAUGGGGAAACCCACCGGUCUUCGGACCGGUACCGUACGGUGAAUACAUAGCCGUACGGGGCGAACUCGGGGAACUGAAACAUCUAAGUACCCUCAGGAAAAGAAAUCAAUUGAGAUUGCCUUAGUAGCGGCGAGCGAACGGGUAACAGCCGAUGGUUUAUGUUGUAGUGGAAUCUUCUGGGAAGUUGAGCGAUACAGGGUGAUAGCCCCGUACACGAAGCAACAUAAAGCACAUAUUAAGUAGGACGGGACACGUGUUAUCUUGUCUGAAGAUGGGGGGACCAUCCUCCAAGGCU
rnacentral:rRNA from 14 species